rnacentral:rRNA from 1 species
GGAAUUUUGGACAAUGGGCGCAAGCCUGAUCCAGCCAUGCCGCGUGAGUGAUGAAGGCCCUAGGGUUGUAAAGCUCUUUCGCCAGGGACGAUAAUGACGGUACCUGGAUAAGAAGCCCCGGCUACACUCGUUCCAGCAGCCGCGGUAAUACGAAGGGGGCUAGCGUUGUUCGGAAUUACUGGGCGUAAAGCGCAUGCAGGCGGAUCGCUAAGUCGGGGGUGAAAGCCCGAGGCUCAACCUCGGAAUUGCCUCCGAUACUGGCGAACUCGAGUCCGGGAGAGGUGAGUGGAACUCCGAGUGUAGAGGUGAAAUUCGUAGAUAUUCGGAAGAACACCAGUGGCGAAGGCGGCUCACUGGCCCGGUACUGACGCUGAGAUGCGAAAGCGUGGGGAGCAAA